CUCCACACAGCCAGCUCCAUCCCUCUCACUUGCAGACACAACUCCGCCAUCAUCUCACUUGCAACCGCAUCGACAACGCCAAAAAAUCUGGAUUCAUGAGCAUGGAGCUGGUCAUGGGCGAAUAAAAAAGUCCCAUUCCAGUCUUGACGAUAAGAGGGAAAGGGUUCUAUGCAUCACUGAGAUAGUAAGCGACUUGGAUGGAGGAUCCAGAGUCGAAGAAAGUAGCGAGAUUAAGAGUGAGCACCUCGGACUCGACGGCGAUUAAGAGUGGCUUUUGAUCUUCACAGAACUUUAACGAAGUUGUUAAGGUAGCUUCUUCUUUUCUUUUUAAACGAAACCUGAAAACUUAAAUAAAAGGGUUAAUUCAAACAUCUCAUCUAGCCCAUACUUGAAUUCAAAACCGGAGUCCAAUGUAUUUUGAAAGCUGGUUUCCAUGUACAUUUCAAAAGCUUUGAUUUCCAUGUGGAGGCAAUAUAUAGUGCAGUAGGUGAUGUAAUCAACUCUUCUUGAAAUCCAUGGGCUCUUACGAGUCCUUCCAAGAGAAAGCCAAUGGAAUGAUUAGGUAUUUCUGUUGUUUCUCCCCUUAAGUGUAUAUUUAUCCUUGACCUUUCUGAAACAAGAGCUCUCAAAUCUUGCAUUGCCAUUUCUUCAAAUAUUUAGGGAAGCAAAAUUUUGGCGAGUAUGAUAGCACUUUCCUGAAAGAGAAAACAGUGCACUCAAAAUAGCUUGAAUCUGUUUAACAAUAGAACAAUAAUCAUGUCCUAUACAUAUUUGGUCAUUUUACCUAGACAUGUUAACCAGACAAUAAAAAGCAACCAACAGCAUACACUGGGGAAACUUUAGAGCCUUUGGAUAUUCAGAAAUGUCAUAAGUAGUUUGAUCAACAAAGAAAUAUAUGCGCAUAUAUCCAAUGUUAUCACACCUGAAGGAAUGCCCUUCUUGUUUAUUCAUCUCAUGACCACUCUAAUUUUUCAUAUAAUAAAGUUUGGAAAACUAUGGUAACACUAGAAGUUAGCAUUUUUGUUCAAACAGCAGUUUCUAGCAAGGUGAAUAGUCAUGAAUUGCUUAGAAAAGGAGUCAUAGUAAGCUUUAUCCCCUUAUUGGUUUGUCAUUAUAAGCAUAGUGAGUCUUAUUCCCAUUAGCAUUGCAAGAUGGCAUGGGUAACUUGCAACGACCUUUCUUGUCUUUUAAGGAGAACUGGGUUUCUUUAAAGACUUUUGUAGGCUUAAAGUGGCAAGGAAUUGGUGGUAGAACAGAUGCAAACGUUAUUAUGCUUUCCGUGCAGUAAUAUGAAGAUUUAGAUGGAAAGAAAUGCUCACUUUUUCAAAAACCAGUUUUUGUCCUUUAAUUUGAUGUGGAAGAAGGUGGUUUUUUGACUUCUCCAUCGGCUUCAGCUUCAGGGGCCUUUCAAGGGAUGUCUUGAAAAGUUAUUCAGUUUAGUUGGAUAGAGCUGCAGUUUUAGCAAUGUCUUUUAAGGAAUGUUUCUGUUUUUUGUCCUUGUUUGCUGAUUUAGGAAUCCUCAUCAACGUUGUAUUUCCUCUCUUUCUUUACUCAAAAAAGAUUAUUUUUGCCAUCCAAAAAAAAACAAAAAUUACCUUCCACAGGAAAUCUUCUAUUUUGGCAUCUGACCUUCCUGCUGAAAGUAUUUUGUCACUUUCAACAAAAAAACAGAGUACCACAGAAUCUGUUAUCAUGUCACAGAUGUAAGGCUUCCCAACUAGUACUUCGUAUAUGCCUAGUGUGCUCCCAUGUGUAAAAGUUGGAUGCAAAGAGUGCCUGUUCCUUAUGCUGUUGUUCCUCCACUUGACAAUACCAUUAGAAAUAAGCCAAACUCCAUUUGGCUUGGAGCCCUCUUUGUAAAGCAGCGCACCACGUGGUUUCAUUGUUCCUUUGGUGGAACCUUCAAGUGGUUCACGUACUGUAGGAGGAAGGGCCCCUAACAAAGGAUGGAUGCUAAUCAGAUCAGUUAUUUUGGGAAUCUUUACUAAAGGAGGAUUCCUUAGAAGCCUUUUCAAGUCAGUCUGGACAGCAUCAUGAAGAUGAAGCAUUUCCUUUUCCUCCAGCAAGCCAACCAUCUCAAGAUUUUGGACAUAAUUGAUUAAAUGGUUCAGCACCGAAUAAGUUACUUGUCUGGUUUUCACGACACGCAAAACCUCAGGAAAUGAAACACGAACAUCUUCCAAGAAUUCUCUCGCUUCUUCUCCUUCUGCCUCACUUUCAUUAAUGACUAUAGAAGCAAGAUCACUGUCACCUAUAAAGUCAUGCAGUUGUCGUCGUGCAAUUCUGUGGGCACGUAGAAAUGCAGCACAAAUGUAGCAAGCAGAUUCCAAUCUCCCUACAAUAAAAUAAGUAACCAGUUUUCGGGGGCAAAUGCUUGAUUGAAGCAACCUGUAGUAACUCGGGAAAUGAACAUUAGCUUUUAAGCCCUUCCAAUCACAUAAAGGCCCAAUAGAGGCCAUGUCAAUUGCUUCAUCUACAGAUUGCAUCAAAAUAUUUGCAGUCAUUUGUGUUAUCCUUCCCUCAUCAAGCAUUCCCCAGUAAGCAGCUUGGACACCAUUUAGAAGGCGUACACGAAUAUCCUUCAAAUUUGUUGGGUCCAGAUUAGUGUCAGGUUCGGUUGCGUUUUGAGGUCCUUCCAAAUUAUUUAAGCUUGCAAUAUAUCUUUUAACAGUUGGCCAGUCAGCAGGUCCAAGUUCCUCAUCAUCUCCAAGGUCACCAAAAGCCGCCAAUGCUUUGUUCAACAUUUCAUACUUCGUGUAUUCCAAUAUACGUUUCUUGGCAGCCGACAGCUUAUCCAUAUCUAGAAGAUGCAAAACAAACUGCGUAGUUGAUCCAUUCACAAUAAGUGUCAGAAAUACGAUUCCACCGGUGAAGAAAACAAACAGAGUUCCGGUUUCCGGAGUGAGAUAUGUUGAGCUGUCACUAGUGCGCUUAACAGAUAGUGAGAGUGAUAGUGCAACAGCUCCGCGCAAACCUGACCAUAUGAGAAUAGCAGCUUCCUUCCAAUCUAAACCAUAGCCAAAAUAUCGUAAAAAUGGAUACAAUACUCCAACAACUAUAAACCGGGAUACUUGCACAAAAACAUAUAGAAGAAAUAGGUAGCCCCAUGAAUUUCCAUGGUUAUGAAAAAUAUUGUCACUGCUAAGAACGCUUUCAGCUAUAACAACACCACUCAAGAUGAAAAUUAAUGUAUUUGCAAUGUACGCAACCAUUUCCCAAAAGUGAUGCAAGCUCUGUUGGCCAUCACCCUUGAAAGCAGUCCUAGCAGCUGCAGAAUAAAACAUUCCUAAAGUCAUCACCGCCAAAACACCAGAAACAUCAGCACCCUCUUGCGCAGUAAAGUAAGCAAUGUAGCUCACAGCAAGUGUCAAGGAAAUCUCUAUCACGAUGUCAUUGAAAAUAUAUCCAAGCCACAGAACAGAUGCAAUUCCAAAAGCAAGACCAAUGCCUACAGCUCCAAGAGAGACUUGUGCCAGAAAUUUAACUAUCCGUCCCCAGUUGGAGCUCUCUCCAAGGACCAUACGAUAAAACAACUGAUAGACCACAAUUGCUGUCCCAUCAUUCAUCAAGGAUUCGCCUUCAAUUAUUGUACUUAAUUUUUUGCUUGCACCAAGCUCUUUCAACAGAGCAACAACAGCCACCGGAUCAGUAGCACUCAGAAGUCCACCCAGCAACAACGAUGUUUUCCAGCUCCAGUUAUAUGGAAAAGCAAGCUUCAGAGCAGAUCCAAGACAGAAUGUUGAGAUCAGAACUCCUGGACCAGCAAGUAGAAGCAUUUGUGCCAUACAUCUCUAUAGAAGAAUUGGUAAAAGCAUUGCUCCCUCAGAAGUACAGAAAACUAUAAUCUAUUACCUAAUAACUUGCAUAAAGUUGCACCUACUUCCGGAGUAUAUAGGAUAAAUUUUACAGAUUUUUCUAUUAAGGAUUUCAAAUCAUAAUGCAGUGUCAAACAAGUAAAUAAUAUGCCAAAAGAAAGCCAACUAUAAAUCGCAAGAGAAAGAACCUCAGAUAAAUACACACACAUACAUUGUAAAACAAAAUGGAGCGAAACGAUGAAAAGAAAGAGAGUAGAAAAAACAAAAGACCAUGCAUCUGAGCAAAGUAAGCCUUUUAUCUCUUACCAGGAGAGCUCAACUUCCCCAAGAUGCAUGUGCCUCAUUUGAAAAGCACAACCAAAAUCCAAAACAAAUUAACAGCUCUCCAAACUAAAUAUAUACAUUUGACCCCCAAACCAUUCUGAACUGCAUCUAGUUUCAGGCUUCAUCAACUGCACAUUUUGCAGAACUUUUUCAUCAAGCAGGUGGUCAUGGCAACUGCCAGAGCAUGGCUAUUUCCAAUCCAAUUAACCAAAGAUGAAAAACAAACGGGGUUUUCUGUAACAGUCAUAUGAUUAUAAUGGAUUUGGAAGUUUAACCAGUUUCUUGCACAUUAAAGGAAGAAGGAAAUAAGUUUGAGAUACAAAAGGUGAUAUGGAUGAAAGAAAUGAGUUUCCCUUUCUGCACGUUAACAACCUUAGACUCCUUGUUCAGUUAAACGUUUUGUUUCAAGUCCAUAAUUUCAGGGUGUUAUUUAAUAUUUACGUCUAAUUGGGUUAGUAUUAAACUAGAAUUUUCAAACACUUAAAAAGAGAGUAAACAAAAGACCUUGAUUUGGUGCAUUUCCAUGGAAAAAGAACUCUCAAAAAGAAGGGCAGGAAGGAAAACAGCCAACAAAAGGUCAGGAUCAAUGUGUGCCCAAAUACGAAUGCUGUCCCCAAUCUUUCCCAAGCGAUGACUUGUACCAUAUUCUAAGGAUCCAAUAGCAAUGCCGAUGACAAGCAGAGCAACAGUAUAAGGAACUCUAGUACCACGCAAGACAUGCCUGGAAGCAAUCCCAAGCACCAAACUGAAUCCAAAAAAAAUGACGGCGUCUGCUGGAUUGGAAUUCUCAGAAGAAGAAGAAGAAAU
rnacentral:misc_RNA from 1 species